CCCUCGCCUCCACCACCUUCUCCCCACCCUAUCUCCCUCAUUUCUCAACCAUUUCAGCCCAUUUUUUUUUAAAAAUCCUCCAUUUUCGAUACUUAAUAACAUACACCUAAAAAGUUUUGAUUUUUUAGCCUCUAAAAGUGUCAUCCGAACCCAAAUAGUAAAUUUUGGGUGUGAAAUCCGGCCACCCAUUUUUGUUGAGAAAUUGUUCAAUCUCAACCUCGUUUAAGGUAUAAAUAUUGCUUCUAUUCUUAUUGUAUUAUGUAUAUUGUUUUAUUUUUUGUUUUUGUAAAUUAUUAUUUGAGUUUUUUUAUUUUAUUAGUAAUAUUAUUGUGUUUUAUGUGUAUAGUGUCGGGAUUUUUUACGGUGGUCGUCGGAUUGCGGUUAUUAGGGGUUCGGCAUAAUUUUGUGUGUAGCGUAUUUGGGCUUGCAAUUAUAGACAUGGCGAACUCAGAAUCAGGAUCUGAUUCGGGAGCAGAAAAUGAGUGUCCAACCACAAUACCUACACGAGGGCCGACGCAAAUGAAUGAAAUAUCCAAACUAAUGGAUCAGGGCAAAAGAGUGGCCCUCGAAGUUAAUGAUAAAGGUCAAUACUGUGGAAAAAGCUACGCGAAGCUCGUAUCCACUCUGGGAGUCAGAUGUCGGCAGACAAUAGGGUUGGCUUAUAAAAACUGGAAAGAAGUCAACCAGACUCUGAAAAAUAAAGUUUGGAAAGACAUUCAGGUAAGCUAUUAUUUGUUAGAAUUUUGAUUUGUUUUUCUAUUACUCCAAAUGUUGACUCUAACCGUGUUUGUUUUCCUUCAAAAUAGACGGGGUUCAUUGUGUCGGACACCUUCAAACAUGAUUGUCUCAUCCUAGCUGGGAAGUUAAUGAAAGACUUCAAGAAUAGGAUGACAAAAGACAUCAUAAUGCCCGCGUUGAAAGAGAAUGAUCUGGGACGACUGGCACAAGUCCCUGAAAAGCACCCGGAGA